GACGAACCGAGCGAACGUUAUUCGGAAUCACUGGGCUUAAAGGGUGCGUAGGCGGUCACGCGAGUCAGGGGUGAAAUCCCACGGCCCAACCGUGGAAGUGCCUCUGAUACCGCGGGACUCGAGGGGGAUAGGGGCGUGCGGAACUUCCGGUGGAGCGGUGAAAUGCGUAGAUAUCGGAAGGAACACCGGUGGCGAAAGCGGCGCGCUGGAUCCCUACUGACGCUGAGGCACGAAAGCCAGGGGAGCAAACGGG
rnacentral:rRNA from 1 species